AUACGGAGGGUGCAAGCGUUACUCGGAAUCACUGGGCGUAAAGCGCGCGCAGGCGGCUAUUUAAGUUGGAUGUGAAAGCCUACGGCUCAACCGUAGAACUGCAUCCAAAACUAUUUAGCUAGAGUGUGGGAGAGGAAGAUGGAAUUAGUUGUGUAGGGGUAAAAUCCGUAGAGAUAACUAGGAAUACCAAAAGCGAAGGCAAUCUUCUGGAACACUACUGACGCUGAGGUGCGAAAGCGUGGGGAGCAAACAGGAUUAGAAACCCUAGUAGUCC
rnacentral:rRNA from 1 species